rnacentral:rRNA from 1 species
GACGAACGCUGGCGGCGUGCUUAACACAUGCAAGUCGAACGGAAAGGCCCUGCUUUUGUGGGGUGCUCGAGUGGCGAACGGGUGAGUAACACGUGAGUAACCUGCCCUUGACUUUGGGAUAACUUCAGGAAACUGGGGCUAAUACCGGAUAGGAGCUCCUGCUGCAUGGUGGGGGUUGGAAAGUUUCGGCGGUUGGGGAUGGACUCGCGGCUUAUCAGCUUGUUGGUGGGGUAGUGGCUUACCAAGGCUUUGACGGGUAGCCGGCCUGAGAGGGUGACCGGGCCCAGUGGGGCUGAGAGACGGCCCCGACUCUCCGGGGGGCGAAAGGGGGGGGUAAUUUGGCAAAGGGGGGAGGCCUGUGGCGGCACAGCCCCGUGGGGGAGGGGGGCCUUCGGGGUGUAAACACCUUUCGCCUGUGACGAAAGGGGGGUGAGGGGAAUUGGGAAAAAAAAACCGGGUAACUACGC